rnacentral:lncRNA from 14 species
UUGUUUACAGAAAUCAUCAUCCUUGUGUCAUCCUUGAUGGCAGUAAUUUCUGAUUCAGCCUCCUGAGCCACAGUGUUUACUCAUACAAUCUACAUUCAGAGGACUGUAACACGCUUUUUAAGCCAUUUUCAACCACUGGAGGCCUUUGCUACUGGAAAGUGCCAAUAUCAUGGACAUUUGAGUAAUAGCGAGA